rnacentral:rRNA from 1 species
GUUGCGGUUAAAAAGCUCGUAGUUGGAUUUCUGCGGGAGACGAAGGGUCUACCUUACGGGUAAGUAUCUCUCAGGCUCCUGCAUCCUCAACAGGAACGUCGCUGCGAUUCAUUUCGUGGUACGGUACUGUUGACUUUUACUUUGAGGAAAUUAGAGUGUUCACGGCAAGCAAGCGCGUGUAUACAUUAGCAUGGAAUAAUAAUAUAGGACCUUGGAUCUAUUUUGUUGGUUUCUAGAACUAAGGUAAUGAUAAAUAGGGACAGUUUGGGGGCAUUUGUACUAACGCGUCAGAGGUGGAAUUCUUGGAUUGCGUUAUGACAAACUACUGCGAAAGCAUUUGCCAAGGAUGUUUUCAUUGAUCAAGAACGAAAGUAUGGGGAUCGAAGACGAUUAGAUACCGUCGUAAUCUAUACCAUAAACUAUGCCAACUAGGAAUGAGACGGAUGUAUAUUUUAUGACCCGUUUCGCGCCUUAUGAGAAAUCAAAGUUUUUGGGUUCCGGG